rnacentral:rRNA from 1 species
GAUGAACGCUGGCGGCGUGCCUAAUACAUGCAAGUCGAGCGAACAGACGAUGAGCUUGCUCCUCUGACGUUAGCGGCGGACGGGUGAGUAACACGUGGAUAACCUACCUAUAAGACUGGGAUAACUUCGGGAAACCGGAGCUAAUACCGGAUAAUAUAUUGAACCGCAUGGUUCAAUAGUGAAAGACGGUUUUGCUGUCACUUAUAGAUGGAUCCGCGCCGCAUUAGCUAGUUGGUAAGGUAACGGCUUACCAAGGCGACGAUGCGUAGCCGACCUGAGAGGGUGAUCGGCCACACUGGAACUGAGACACGGUCCAGACUCCUACGGGAGGCAGCAGUAGGGAAUCUUCCGCAAUGGGCGAAAGCCUGACGGAGCAACGCCGCGUGAGUGAUGAAGGUCUUCGGAUCGUAAAACUCUGUUAUUAGGGAAGAACAAAUGUGUAAGUAACUAUGCACGUCUUGACGGUACCUAAUCAGAAAGCCACGGCUAACUACGUG